rnacentral:siRNA from 1 species
GGUGAUCGAGUGGUGAUCGAGUGG